rfam:Rummeliibacillus stabekisii strain PP9, complete genome.
UUCACCUUUAAGAACAGUCCAGAGAGGCUGAAAAGGGAUGCGAAGAAUGUGAAGUCCGUAUGCAGUAACUGCUUACUUGACAAUCUAUCAGUAUACCUAUAACCUCUUGGGCCAAUCGCUCAAGAGUUUUUUUAU